rnacentral:rRNA from 1 species
GCCUACGACCAUCUCACCCUGAAUGCGCCCGAUCUCGUCUGAUCUCGGAAGCUAAGCAGAGUCGAGCCUGGUUAGUACUUGGAUGGGAGACUGUCUGGGAAUACCAGGUGUUGUAGGCU